AGCCACCGAAAAUGGUCAAGCAGAGAAAGGAUCCUUUGGGACUGCGAAGAAACCUCUUUCUUACCCUGCUUCACCUGCCAUGCAAAAAAGGCAUUCAGGUCCACCAAAGGUAGAAAGCAGCUUAGAUGCAGAAUUCACUAUGAGCAAUGGUGUGGCCAAAUGAUUAUAAGGUAAAGCGUCAUUUAGUCUCCGACGAUAUUAAUGUCACCAAUUAGGUUCUUGAAGGUUUUUUGUCACCAGUCAAGUCCUUGAAAAAAUUGAAAGAUUUCAUCGGUGACUUAAGUCCCCAGAAGACUAGUUUGAUGGCAUUUUAAAUCUUUGAAAGACUUAUUGUUGAGGAAAAACUUUCAAGGAUAGAAUUGGUGACAGUGUUAUAUUUGAAUGUGUAAUUUGAAGGUUUACUAGUUGACUAUAUAACCAGAGUAAAAUGAUGGAAAUCAUUGAAUAGGAUGGGAAAUAUAUCACUGAAGAAAUAAAUCAAAAGUUUAUAUGAUUCGAGUGUUCCAUUUAUUUAUUUAUUUAUCCCACUUAUUAUGUGUACCCUAAAGUUUCCUUGAAGCUAUAUUGAUUUGAGGAGAAAAUUGUUUUACUCAAUAUAAUCAUCUAUUUGUAUUUAGUUUCCCACUAUUUGCCCUGAGAGGAUGAAAGGUUGUCCAUGAUGGUUAGGGGUUUGUGUGGAAGUCCUUAUUUUAGUUGAAUCAUCUUAGCAUUGUGUACCAAAAUAUUUGGGCAAAAACACACUUUUAUGAUACGUUUAAAUAAGCGUCCAAGGAAACUUUCAUUCUCAGCAAACAUUAGGAAAAUAAAUUUCUUUUUCUUAACCAUUAGCCCCUUUACCUGCUGUUCGCCACUGCUGCUGCCUCAUUGCCUUUGCUCAACCGUCGUUCACCACAUUCGCCUAGUCGCUGCCAUCGCGUUUAGCCCACCCAACAUGAUCUUUCAAUGCACAAGAUCGUUGUUCAAUGCACAAUUGUAGUGGUGAAUGACAAAUUUGAAGUUAUGAAGGCUUUGCACAUUGUAGGACAAGAUUUUGAUCCAUCAAAAUCUUGUCGUUUUCUACAAUUCUGCAUUAUUAAUGGAAAAGAAAAGAUGCACUAGGAAUGGCCUUUUAAUUGAAGUUAUGUAUGUUCCUUUUACAGUUGAAGUUGUCACAAUGUAAAUGAAUGGCCUUUUACUUGUUAUAUGAAUUCAUGGUACCUUUCUGUAAUUAAUUUGCAUAUUCUAGGACUGUAUUUUGUUUCACCAAUUCUCUUUUGUUAUGUUAAUUAUGUACAAUUUUUAUUUGAAUUUGCUUGGUGCUUAGGUGUAAG
rnacentral:lncRNA from 1 species